UGGGGAAUAUUGGGCAAUGGGCGAAAGCCUGACCCAGCAACGCCGCGUUAAGGAAGAAGGCUUUCGGGUUGUAAACUUCUUUUCUCAGGGACGAAAGAAAUGACGGUACCUGAGGAAUAAGCCACGGCUAACUACGUGCCAGCAGCCGCGGUAAUACGUAGGUGGCAAGCGUUAUCCGGAUUUAUUGGGUGUAAAGGGCGUGUAGGCGGGAGUGCAAGUCAGAUGUGAAAACUAUGGGCUCAACCCAUAGCCUGCAUUUGAAACUGUACUUCUUGAGUGCUGGAGAGGCAAUCGGAAUUCCGUGUGUAGCGGUGAAAUGCGUAGAUAUACGGAGGAACACCAGUGGCGAAGGCGGAUUGCUGGACAGUAACUGACGCUGAGGCGCGAAAGCGUGGGGAGCAAACAGGAUUAGAUACC
rnacentral:rRNA from 1 species